GAUGAACGCUGGCGGCGUGCCUAAUACAUGCAAGUCGAGCGAACAGACGAGGAGCUUGCUCCUCUGACGUUAGCGGCGGACGGGUGAGUAACACGUGGAUAACCUACCUAUAAGACUGGGAUAACUUCGGGAAACCGGAGCUAAUACCGGAUAACAUGUUGAACCGCAUGGUUCAACAGUGAAAGACGGUCUUGCUGUCACUUAUAGAUGGAUCCGCGCCGCAUUAGCUAGUUGGUAAGGUAACGGCUUACCAAGGCAACGAUGCGUAGCCGACCUGAGAGGGUGAUCGGCCACACUGGAACUGAGACACGGUCCAGACUCCUACGGGAGGCAGCAGUAGGGAAUCUUCCGCAAUGGGCGAAAGCCUGACGGAGCAACGCCGCGUGAGUGAAGAAGGUCUUCGGAUCGUAAAACUCUGUUAUUAGGGAAGAACAAAUGUGUAAGUAACUACGCACGUCUUGACGGUACCUAAUCAGAAAGCCACGGCUAACUACGUGC
rnacentral:rRNA from 1 species